rnacentral:rRNA from 1 species
UACGGGGGGGGCAAGCGUUGUUCGGAAUUACUGGGCGUAAAGGGCUCGUAGGCGGCCAACUAAGUCGGAUGUGAAAUCCCCAGGCUUAACCUGGGAAUUGCAUCCGAUACUGGAUGGCUUGAAUCCGGGAGAGGGAUGCGGAAUUCCAGGUGUAGCGGUGAAAUGCGUAGAUAUCUGGAGGAACACCGGUGGCGAAGGCGGCAUCCUGGACCGGCAUUGACGCUGAAGAGCGAAAGCUAGGGGAGCAAACGGG